rnacentral:tRNA from 1 species
GGACGGUUACCCAAGUGGCCAACGGGGUCUGACUGUAAAUCAGAUAGCAGAAGCUUUCGGAGGUUCGAAUCCUUCACCGUCCAC